rnacentral:rRNA from 1 species
AUUAAACGCUGGCGGAAUGCUUUACACAUGCAAGUCGAACGGCAGCACGGACUUCGGUCUGGUGGCGAGUGGCGAACGGGUGAGUAAUACAUCGGAACGUGCCCAGUCGUGGGGGAUAGCGUAGCGAAAGUUACGCUAAUACCGCAUACGAUCUACGGAUGAAAGCGGGGGAUCGCAAGACCUCGCGCGAUUGGAGCGGCUGAUAUCAGAUUAGGUAGUUGGUGGGGUAAAGGCUCACCAAGCCGACGAUCUGUAGCUGGUCUGAGAGGACGACCAGCCACACUGGGACUGAGACACGGCCCAGACUCCUACGGGAGGCAGCAGUGGGGAAUUUUGGACAAUGGGCGCAAGCCUGAUCCAGCCAUGCCGCGUGCAGGAUGAAGGCCUUCGGGUUGUAAACUGCUUUUGUACGGAACGAAAAGGUUUGGCCUAAUAAGCUGGACCCAUGACGGUACCGUAAGAAUAAGCACCGGCUAACUACGUGCCAGCCGCCGCGGUAA